UAAAAUUAAAAAAAUAAAAUUGGAACAAUACAGUGAAAAUUAGCAUGGCCCCUACGACAUACAUAUUUGUGAAGCAUUUUUUUUUUUA
ensembl:snRNA U6 U6 spliceosomal RNA